CUGCGGCAGCGACACUGUGUGUUGUUGGGUAGGGGAGCGUUCUGUAAGCCUGUGAAGGUGUGUCGUGAGGCAUGCUGGAGGUAUCAGAAGUGCGAAUGCUGACAUAAGUAACGAUAAAGCGGGUGAAAAGCCCGCUCGCCGGAAGACCAAGGGUUCCUGUCCAACGUUAAUCGGGGCAGGGUGAGUCGACCCCUAAGGCGAGGCCGAAAGGCGUAGUCGAUGGGAAACGGGUUAAUAUUCCCGUACUUGGUGUUACUGCGAAGGGGGGACGGAGAAGGCUAUGUUGGCCGGGCGACGGUUGUCCCGGUUUAAGCGUGUAGGUGUGUGUUCCAGGUAAAUCCGGUUCACUUUAACACUGAGGCGUGACGACGAGGCACUACGGUGCUGAAGCAACAAAUGCCCUGCUUCCAGGAAAAGCCUCUAAGCAUCAGGUAACAUCAAAUCGUACCCCAAACCGACACAGGUGGUCAGGUAGAGAAUACCAAGGCGCUUGAGAGAACUCGGGUGAAGGAACUAGGCAAAAUGGUGCCGUAACUUCGGGAGAAGGCACGCUGACACGUAGGUGAAGUGAUUUACUCAUGGAGCUGAAGUCAGUCGAAGAUACCAGCUGGCUGCAACUGUUUAUUAAAAACACAGCACUGUGCAAACACGAAAGUGGACGUAUACGGUGUGACGCCUGCCCGGUGCCGGAAGGUUAAUUGAUGGGGUCAGCGCAAGCGAAGCUCCUGAUCGAAGCCCCGGUAAACGGCGGCCGUAACUAUAACGGUCCUAAGGUAGCGAAAUUCCUUGUCGGGUAAGUUCCGACCUGCACGAAUGGCGUAAUGAUGGCCAGGCUGUCUCCACCCGAGACUCAGUGAAAUUGAACUCGCUGUGAAGAUGCAGUGUACCCGCGGCAAGACGGAAAGACCCCGUGAACCUUUACUAUAGCUUGACACUGAACAUUGAGCCUUGAUGUGUAGGAUAGGUGGGAGGCUUUGAAGUGUGGACGCCAGUCUGCAUGGAGCCGACCUUGAAAUACCACCCUUUAAUGUUUGAUGUUCUAACGUGGACCCGUUACCCGGGUUGCGGACAGUGUCUGGUGGGUAGUUUGACUGGGGCGGUCUCCUCCUAAAGAGUAACGGAGGAGCACGAAGGUUGGCUAAUCCUGGUCGGACAUCAGGAGGUUAGUGCAAUGGCAUAAGCCAGCUUGACUGCGAGCGUGACGGCGCGAGCAGGUGCGAAAGCAGGUCAUAGUGAUCCGGUGGUUCUGAAUGGAAGGGCCAUCGCUCAACGGAUAAAAGGUACUCCGGGGAUAACAGGCUGAUACCGCCCAAGAGUUCAUAUCGACGGCGGUGUUUGGCACCUCGAUGUCGGCUCAUCACAUCCUGG
rnacentral:rRNA from 1 species